rnacentral:rRNA from 1 species
AUUGAACGCUAGCGGCAGGCUUAACACAUGCAAGUCGAACGAGCGGCGGACGGGUGAGUAAUGUCUGGGAAACUGCCUGAUGGAGGGGGAUAACUACUGGAAACGGUAGCUAAUACCGCAUACCAUCGGAUGUGCCCAUAUGGGAGUAGCUAGUAGGUGGGGUAAAGGCUCACCUAGGCGACGAUCCCUAGCUGGUCUGAGAGGAUGACCAGCCACACUGUAACUGAGACACGGUCCAGACUCCUACGGGAGGCAGCAGUGGGGAAUAUUGCACAAUGGGCGAAAGCCUGAUGCAGCCAUGCCGCGUGUAUGAAGAAGGCCUUCGGGUUGUAAAGUACUUUUGGCGAGGAGGCGUUACUCGCAGAAGAAGCACCGGCUAACUACGUGCCAGCAGCCGCGGUAAUAC